rnacentral:rRNA from 1 species
AACAUAACUCCCAACCCCUGUGAACAUACCAAUUGUUGCCUCGGCGGAUCAGCCCGCUCCCGGUAAAACGGGACGGCCCGCCAGAGGACCCCUAAACUCUGUUUCUAUAUGUAACUUCUGAGUAAAACCAUAAAUAAAUCAAAACUUUCAACAACGGAUCUCUUGGUUCUGGCAUCGAUGAAGAACGCAGCAAAAUGCGAUAAGUAAUGUGAAUUGCAGAAUUCAGUGAAUCAUCGAAUCUUUGAACGCACAUUGCGCCCGCCAGUAUUCUGGCGGGCAUGCCUGUUCGAGCGUCAUUUCAACCCUCAAGCCCAGCUUGGUGUUGGGACUCGCGAGUCAAAUCGCGUUCCCCAAAUUGAUUGGCGGUCACGUCGAGCUUCCAUAGCGUAGUAGUAAAACCCUCGUUACUGGUAAUCGUCGCGGCCACGCCGUUAAACCCCAACUUCUGAAUGUUGACCUCGGAUCAGGUAGGAAUACCCGCUGAACUUAAGCAUUCAA